rnacentral:rRNA from 1 species
UACGGGGGGGGGCAAGCGUUGUUCGGAAUUACUGGGCGUAAAGGGCUCGUAGGCGGCCAACUAAGUCAGACGUGAAAUCCCCAGGCUCAACCGUGGGAACUGCGUCUGAUACUGGAUGGCUUGAAUUCGGGAGAGGGAUGCAGAAUUCCAGGUGUAGCGGUGAAAUGCGCAGAUAUCGGGAGGAACACCAGUAGCGAAGGCGGCUCGCUGGGCCAUUCCUGACGCUGAGACGCGAAAGCUAGGGGAGCGAACAGG